UGAGGGAUAUUGGUCAAUGGGCGCAAGCCUGAACCAGCGACGCCGCGUGGGUGAAGAAGGUCUUCGGAUCGUAAAGCCCUUUUCCCACUGAAGAGGAAGGACGGUAGGUGGGGAAGAAGUCUCGGCUAACUACGUGCCAGCAGCCGCGGUAAAACGUAGGAGACAAGCGUUAUCCGGAGUUACUGGGCGUAAAGGGCGUGCAGGUGGCGUCUUAAGUCUGUUGUGAAAGCGCCUGGCUUAACCGGGCGAGGCAAAUGGAGACUGAGAGGCUGGAGGACGGCGGAGGGGUGUGGAAUUCCGGGUGUAGUGGUGAAAUGCGUAGAGAUCCGGAGGAACACCAGAGGCGAAGGCGGCACUCUAAGCCGUACCUGACACUGAGACGCGACAGCACGGGGAGCAA
rnacentral:rRNA from 1 species